ACCCCAGCAAUGAGGAAGAAUAAGUGACCCCAUAGACAAGCCCAUGUGAAAAGAAACAACCAUCCAACAACUUGCUACCCAUGCAGCUAAGACAACUAAAGAGUGGGAGCCUUCCCAUGAGGAACAAGGACUAUGGUGGAGAGCUGCCACUAAGCCUUAACUCCUGACAAUUUUGAAAAUCUCCACUUUCCAGAAACAAAAGAAACAAGUUUGUCAAACCAUUUCUAGAGGAAUUCCUGCAUAUCAACAGGAGAAGACAAGAAUUCUCAUUUAAAAAAAAAAUAAUAAAGAUAAUAUAGGAAACAUCUAUAGAAGAAAGAACCAAGAAAGUUUAUAAGAAUACUCAGAGAUGCUGAAAACCAUUACUAAGCAGAGAGUGGCACUUAAAAGAGCAGUAAGAUACCACGUUUCACCUGUUUGAUAGACAUAAAUCAUAAAGCAAUGUCAAGUGCUCCAGGAACACUGGGGUGUGAGAUCUUUUAUACCCCUGCUAGUGUGAGUGUAAGAGAGCAUAGCCACCUAGGGUGAAUAGUUUUUAGCAUACUAAAUAUAUAUAACUCCUAUCACUUAGUGAUGCCAUUACUGAAUAUUAUUAGGGGAAAAGAGUCUCAUAUACAUAGAUCACAAUGAAACACAAGUGAAGAUAUUUUUCACAGCAUUACUUCUGAUAUCAAGUUGUUAGACUGGAUAGGAAAAUAUAUGGAGGAUGAACAUCAUGGAGUUCUAGCCUUCAGUUAUAUAUAAUAAAUCAGAUCUAGACAUAGACAUGAAAAUUUUAUAACCAUGAUGAUGCUGACUGAAAACAAAAUUAUGAGAGAGAAUGAUAUCUAUAAUCUAAUACAUUCAUAUAAAUUAAAAUGACUCUAUGCAAUCAAAUACAUUCUACCAGAGAACACCCAUUAGACACAUUUGGGCUGUUAUAGGAGUUAGUGGAUAGCAAGAAAAGAAAGGGAGACGGAAAGAAGAGAAGGGAAGAAGAAAGAUGGAAAAAA